ensembl:snRNA U1 U1 spliceosomal RNA
AGUCAUACCUUGUAGGGGAAAUACCAUGUUGUAAAAAUGGUUUUCCCAGGGAGAGGCUCAUCCAUUGCACUUUAGGUGUGUUGUUGACCCUUGUGAUUUCCCCAAAUGUGGGGAACUUAACUACAUAAUUUGUGUUAAUGGGGGAAUUAUGUUUGUGAUUUCUCUG